AUGUUGAGCCCCGGCAUUUCGGUCAAGAAGCGCCACGGCGGUGCCGGGUUUGCGCUCGGGUGUGGCUGCAAGGACGCCAAGAGCGUGUCGGUGAUCUCUGCGUCGCCCUCGCCGUCCGGCGCGGGUACACCGACCACAACCGAGACGCGGCGCAGGGGCGGGAGGGCCAACCCGUCGGCGUCGACGACGACGGACACUCUGACCUCUGCCUCGUCGUCGUCCCUGCUAUGGGAGGACGCCGUGGCGGAGUUCGAGUGCGGCGACGACGGCCAGUUCAAGAUGGAGAGCUCCGCAGCCACGCAGAGCUUCUCCGGCCUGCUGCGCGAGCUCAACGAGCUGGAGCAGAGCGUCGUGUCGUGGGGCCGGAAGAGCCACCGCAGCCGCGACGACAAGAAAGCCUCGUCGCCGCCACUGGAGCACAAGCAGGCGACCAUGAAAAGCGGCGUCAAGGGCGGCGACGUCACGACGGGCGGCGCUAAAGAUCGCCAUGUCGGUGACAGCGUCGAACCGGGGACUGUUGGUGCUUGCGUCGAAGUGGGGCUCGACGGCAGCGUGGCGGUGGUGAAGCAGUCCGAGGACCCGCUGAGCGACUUCCGGCAGUCGAUGGUGCAGAUGAUCGUGGAGAACGGGAUCAUCGCCGGGGAGGAGCUGCGGCAGAUGCUCCGCCGCUUCCUCACCCUCAACGCGCCGCACCACCACGACGUCAUCCUCCGCGCCUUCGCGGAGAUCUGGGACGCUGUGUUCUCGGCCUCCUACGUGCCCGCCCCCGCCGCCGCCCCGCCCCGCAAGUACACCCGCCGCGAGGAGCCCGCCGCUGGAAGGCCGCCCAUGCCUCCGAGGACCCCUCCGCGCCACCACCACUCGCCAUCACCGUCAGCAUGGCGCGUGUAA
rnacentral:rRNA from 1 species